GAUGAAGAACGUAGCGAAAUGCGAUAAGUAAUGUGAAUUGCAGAAUUCAGUGAAUCAUCGAAUCUUUGAACGCACAUUGCGCCCGGUAGUAAUCUGCCGGGCAUGCCUGUCCGAGCGUCAUUUCAACCCUCGAACCACUAUUCGCGUAGCUGGAUCGGUGUUGGGGCACUACGGUGGAAUACCCGUAGGCCCCGAAAUGAAGUGGCGGUCCCGCCGUAGCCUCCUCCGCGUAGUAACACACCUCGCUCUGGGACUCGGCGCGGCCCGUGCCGUUAAACACCCCACUUCUCAAGGUUGACCUCGGAUCAGGUAGGAAUACCCGCUGAACUUAAGCAUAUCAAUAAGCGGAGGA
rnacentral:misc_RNA from 1 species